rnacentral:rRNA from 1 species
AUGAAGUUUCUAUAUGCCCUACCAUACUCACAUAAUUUCUGUUCUAAUUGGGUUUCUGCACCAUGGGUGCAACGGGACAUCGGGUUCCUUUCUAUUGACCCGAAAUCAAUGGUUAUUGAACAAAUUAAUUAUCACUCCGCUGAGGUUGAAGGUGAUCACACCUUGAUUGCUGGUGAUGAUAUGAUUCAGUCAAGAUGUGAUGAUGGCAGCUUUGUGGGUGAGAGCAUAAGAAAGAGACCACAAUCAAGUCGAUGCAAGAUCCUGCCGAUUCAGCAAGGAAGAGGAGAAGACAGAGCCGUCCACGAAAAUGACUGGAUAUAUGCCAUAUUCUCCUUGACAACCCCUUUUCGCUGGUUAGGCCCAGCCCAGCAAACGUCUGUGGGCAACAUGAGCUCCGUGUGA